GGCUGCUUUAUUUGCUGGAUUUGGAAGAACGAGUAGAAUUAAUCAGACACAAAGUUCUGACUGCAGUGACAAAGUGUGAGUGAGAAUUCUCAACGUGGACUUCCGAGUCCUGGGCCAUUAUUAGUUAUGAGAGCUUGGGCCAGUUAUUAACUUGUUUAAGCUCCCAUUUUCUCAAAGGAGAUCAUGUUAACAUCUAUUUAGGCUGCUGCGAGGACUAAAUGAAAUAAUUCAAGUGAAGUGCUGAGCACAGUGCCUGGCAUGUAAUGAGAGUUGAUAAAAGUCAGCUGUUAAUUGUUGUUUAGCAGCAACUUCCAGUUUGGUAGGAGAAGGUAAUCAGAGAGAAGGUGACAUGGAGGCAGACUGACGGGUUUGAGUUUUGGCUCUCAUUUUCUGGGCCGUCCUUUCUGGGCCUCAGUCUUCUUCUAAAAUGAAACUCAUCAUCCAUGCCUGAGGGGGCGUUGAAGCGUGAAAUGCAAGGAUGGUGGAACAUGCCCAGCACAGCACCUGGCGCUUAGUAGGCUCUUUGUCUCACUGCUUCUCCCUUUGGAGCAGGGGCUCCGUUCCACUCACCUCUACACCUUCUCAGCCAUCACAGUGCCUGGCGUGUGGACGGUCUUCGUACGUGUUUUGAACAAAUGAACAAACCAGCUCACAGAGCUACUCACCUUGAUUUUAAUUGACUGAUCGCCUAAUGAAAUACCAAGUUUUGUGGGGGAUUCAGAAGAUUAUAUCAUGACAUCCCACAACUAGAAGGACCUGCAACUAAGAUAUACAACUAUGUACCGGGGAGGUUUGGGAAAUAAAGCAGAAAAAAAAAAUCAAACAGAAGAUUAUAUCAUGAAACUCCUCCCACAGGUUCUAACAAUCUGAUUGGAGGAGACAAGAUUAAUCAACACACAUUUAAGAGUGAACACAGAAGCUAACAAAUGAAAAUGAUUAAACAUGUAUGGCACAGACUGUUCAUAAUUAAGUUCACAGUUCCUCCAACAGAGCUCAGUUCUCAAAUUCUGACACUCACAGUGUUAAUUUACAUCUGUGUUGUUUGUUGACAGUUGGCUGUUCGUCAGAUCCUGGGCGUUCCGAUGGGAAGGAGAGCACUCACCUUGCAGCAGGGACCUUGUGUCUAGACGGCAGGGCUGGGUGGGAAUCUAGCAGGCAUCAGAAGAGCGCAGGGCCCAGGGGAUGGGGUGGAGGUGCCUGGAGACAGGAAAAAAAGGAGUCAAGGAGGGGAAGCGAGAGCAGACUGAAACAACAUUCAGCCACUGCACCAUUUGGCUGUUGAUUUUUUCCUCCCUCCGAGUGUGAAUAAAGUCACAGGACCUAAAUCCGGGAGCCACCUUAAAAGCGUCUGGCCGGGAGGCUUUAUGUAAUAGCUCACGAGGCAUUCAAAUCACUGCUCACACACUUUUAGGGACAGGGCAGAAAGCCCUUCGCUACCUCGGCAGAGAGCCCGCGUCUUCAUUAGACUGUUCU
ensembl:lncRNA